CCUCAAAGACCAGGGUGCCAAGUGCCUACAACGUGCAUGCAAUAUAGAGGAAAAUUACCCACACCCUUACCCUGGAUCCUAAAGGCGGAGAUGAAGAAAGAAACCCGCUUCUGGUUUUUGUGCCAGCCCUCGGGAGCUGGGGAUGAUGGCCAGGCAAUCGCUCAGAAGCAGCCUUGAGUGAUUAUGGGGAAUUUCCAUCCUGCAGUGACCCAUCUGGAGAGCAACAGGCAGGGGAUGUGGUCAUUUUGACUUGAUUUCCGUAAAGACAAAGGGUGAAGAUCUCUGCACAUGCUCAUUGACCAUUUAUAUGUCUUCUCUA